GCCCUUAGAAUUUAUUAAAGGUGAUACCUGCCCAGUGGUAAAAUGUAUUUCAAUUUUAAUUAAUUGAGAUUUUAUUAAACGGAUGCGGUAACUCUGACUGUAAUAAAGUAGCAUAAUAAGUUGUCAUUUAAUUGAUGGAGUGUAUGAAUGGUUUAACGAGCUUUCCACUGUCUUGAGUAAAAGUUUUUUGAAAUUAAAAUAAUAGUGAAGAUUCUAUUUAAAAUCGUAAGACGAAAAGACCCUAUAGAGCUUUACUAUAAUUUUUUAUAAUAUGUUUAAUAUAUUUAUUUAUUAUUGGAAAAUUGGUAGUUUAGUUGGGGCGAUUGUCUUUUAUAAAUAACAAAGAUAAGCAAAAUUAAUAAAUUGAUUUAUUGUAUAAUAAAAGCAUUUAACAAUUAUAAUCAUAGGCUAUAUUGACCCGUUGAAGAAAAUUAAAAUUUUCAGCGAUUAAUUAAUAAAAGCUACCUUAGGGAUAACAGGAUAAUUUUGUUUUAGAGUUCAUAUCAAUUUCAAAGUUUGUCACCUCUAUGUUGAAUUAAGAUAUCCUAAUGAUGCAGAAGUUAUUAAGGGUAGGUCUGUUCGACCUUUAAAAUCUU
rnacentral:rRNA from 1 species